ensembl:lncRNA
UUUUUUUCCUUCUGGUUGCCACACACAUCCUUGCAAUGGGCAUUUUUGGAAGGUCCACAAGAACGGAGGACGUGUGUAGCAGAGAUUCUACAGUGCACAAAGCAGUUUUCUCUUUUGUCCCCAGUAGUGCAUCUAAUGCAAUGACUUUAUCCUGGUUUUAUGCACUUGUGUCAUUUGCCACGUGGAAGAGCAGUGCCACUUCAGAAAUAUAUCAAGCACAGGUGACUUUCUUAAAUAAGCAAGCCUCAUGAAUUUUCUAAUGAAAAUAAGAAAUAAAUAUCUGGAAAAGCACCAGAGAACAGGAAUUAUUAUGGAAAAAAGACUAUAUAGAUUCUUGAAAUGUAACACAAUCUGCAUAUGUUGUUUACAUCAUAGCUCACUUUAUUCAGCCUUGCACACAAGGUCACAAAAGAAAUUUGGGCCUUAUUAUUCCUGGAGGAGUUUGUAUUUUUUGCUGUGGUGUUAGAUUACCUUACCCUUUUUAUUACCAUCUGCACUGCAAGGCUAGUUUUGCUGAGGUUAUUUUUUUUAAGCAGCAUCCCAUGAUACCCUUAAUUCUGUGUUUCCUGUGCUUUUGCUUCAUAUGCAAUUAAAAGACAUUUUCUCUAAGAAAUAGAUUUGUUCUAUAUUGUAUAGCAGUAAAUUAGCUAGUAUUUGUACUAUAUAACUUUAACCCUUUAAUUGUGGAGGACAAAUGCAAUUGUUUUAGAAUAAAUUAAUUAAGAAAGGAUUUCACCUUAGCAUCCUUCAGUGUAUAAGGAGAAAGAUGGUGUCAAAUAUUACAUAUUUUUGUUUAACAUGAUGUCAUAAAUAUGCUGUCCUUUUGCACAGGAUUUUUAUUUUGAUACUUGACUUUGCUUGUGUAUUUUAAGCAAAAUAUUUUCAGCUGAUUUCUUUGUGCCACCAAUGCCAUUGACUGCGGUAGCUUUGAAAAUAGUUUUUCUUCAUUAAUGGCUUCUGGUGAAUUGUUGGGAGAACAAAGCACUGUCCCUAGUGGCUCCUGAAACUUAUGGAAGCAUGCAAUGAAAUAGCUAUUAUUUUUCAUGAAAAAGAAAAAAAAAUAGAGUAGUACUUUUAAUAGCUUUACACAAGCAUGAACAACUUGAACUAUAGAGAUGAAAUUAAUCUGAAGUUUCUUGGGUUGUUUUUCAGCCCUCAAAAUAUUGUUCAUGUUUGUCAAUCUUCACAAUUGAAAAGCCCCUUCCAUGUGUUUGUCCACCCAAGCAUGGUGAAACAAUAAAUACAGAAACCCAGUUUUUCUGGGCUCUCCACACAUGAAGGUGCUGGGUAACAGGAUCACUUUUCAAAAGGCAGGUUGACCUGCAUUAAGUCUUUGCAGUCAUUCAAAAGCUGAAGUGUUGUGUGCUAUUUCAGAGAAUUUAUGGGACCUCAGAUUGUGGGGUACCAGUUUGUUGGGAUGGGAGGCAGAAGAGGAGAGGGUGUUCUUCCACCAUCCCGUGGGUGUUUGCUGCCUCACAGGACUCAGUGCUCUCAAAAAUCCUGAGAAGUAGCUUGGUUUGUAAACCUGAAACUCAUUUCAAGGAGCACAGUACCAAGAAGGAUAGUUAGAAGCCCUGUCUUUAGUAUCUUCAAGUGUUGUACAUUGAUCAGCAUGCAGAUCAGAGAUUGGAUUUCUUUUAGUUACGACUGACAGUUUUGUCUGUGGGAAUUUCCCCACAUCUUUCCCAUAGACCUUAGAUGGCAGGUAUAAUAACCCAAAGCAUAUCUAUGUGAUUUCCAUAAACCUGAACAGGAAGACAGCCUGUAGGAAAAAAGACACACUGUGAGGCAGAGUGAAGGCUUUGAAGUGAAAUCACAUUUUCUGUUGGUUGUAGAAAGCAGGGAUAAAGCGCAAUUUCUUAUCAUUGUCAUGUGAUGCUAAAUCAGAUUUGACUGGGUUUUCCAGCCAGUUGUACAAUGAACAGUGGGAUAUGGUAUAAUGUUUUCCAGAUCUUUUUGGAAUAAUGCAGAUGAGCGUCUAUAUAGCAAAGUUAAAAUUGAAAAUACAGAUGAAAUAUCAAGGAUUUUUUACUUUCCUAUUAAUUUGGCAGCAAGCCAUUAUUAUAGUGUAAAUUUCUUCCUCAUUACUACAGAAUAACAAAAUGUCUUUGACCAUAAUUUUUUUCCUCCUGAGGUUGUUGUUAUUGUCUGUAAUCUCCACUAAGUUUUCCUGUUAGUAGUGUUUGUUUCUCUGUACACUGACAUUACUAGUUGGUAUACACCUCCAGAAACAGAAUAUUUCAUGUAGAUAUUUUAUACAUGCCUGUUCCAUGUUUUUCUUUUUUCUUAGUUAAUAUGGGUAAGACAUGUUGUAGCUGAGGCUUAAGAAUCUUAUUUAGAUUUGUCAAUCUACUCUACCAUUGCAAUUUUCUUACUUUGUGUUAGGCAGAGUGCGCAUAUUUGGCAAUAUAUUUCAGUGUAGUUCUGAAGUGAAUAUAUUAUUUGAAAUUGAGUAUUUCUGACAUGAGUUAUUGAGUUAUGAAAUAAAAAAUGCUGCACAGACCAGAGGUCAUCUCUAUUAAUGUACUUAAUGAAGUAUGAUAGGAAAAAGAAGUUAUUAUGAAAGUUUUAUAAUGCUACAAAACUUGGUGUUUGGGUUUUGGGUUUUGAUUUUGUUAGUGCUGUUCUCCCCCUUCCCGCCUCCCUACUUUCAUUCUUUUGUGUCAUCAGUCACUGAAGUAUAUCAAAUGAUAAUUUCUACUUUUCCAUCUAAGCCUGUCUGGAGUAUUCAAUCAUUUUCUCUUGUGCCACCAUUAUAAGGGAAGUAUUCAUGUCUACCUGUUCCAUUCUGGCAGAUAUCUUCCAUCUUCCAUUUUCCUUGUCCUAUGUCAGGAUUGGUUGUGAUAGAAUUGAUUUUUCUCUGUUAAGAAUUCAAUUUUUUUCAAUUAUUCUUUCAUCCUUCUGGAGCUUAUAAAAGUUGGACACAGAUGUGUGGAUUUAGGAAACUGAUAGACCACCUUAAUCAUAGCUGUAUUUGCAUUAAGAGCACCCUUCCAACAUGAGAGGGGUUAUAGAUGGGGAGCUGGGACCUGCUGUGUGAUCAGAGCUGCUCUGACACAUGGAAUGCUGAUUUUGGGUAUUUUAGAAAUGGCAAACCUGUGCUUCUACUUCCCUGGCAGAGGUGAUGGUUUCCUUCUGCAGGUCCCGUUGCUUGGCUGUGCUCUGAGCUGGACUUCUGCUAAAGCAAAGGAG